rnacentral:tRNA from 1 species
UGAGAUUAUAGCUCAGUUGGAUUAGAGCGUCAGAUUGCGGAUCUGAAGGUCGGCGGUUCGAGCCCGCCUAGUCUCAUGCU